rnacentral:rRNA from 1 species
AUUGAACGCUGGCGGCAGGCCUAAUACAUGCAAGUCGAGCGAGCGGCGGACGGGUGAGUAAUGUAUGGGGACUGCCCGAUCGAGGGGGAUAACCACUAGAAACGGUAGCUAAUUCCGCCUACCAUCGGAUAAACCAUAUGGGAUUAGCUAGUAGGUGGGGUAAUGGCUCACCUAGGCGACGAUCCCUAGCUGGUCUGAGCGGAUGAUCAGCCACACUGGGACUAAGACACGACCCAGACUUCUACGGAGGCAGCUGUGAGGAAUAUUGGACAGGUGGCGCAAGCCGAGUGUAGCCAUGCGGCGUGUAUGAAGAAGACCCUAGGGUUGUAAAGUACGGACAGUCGGGAGGCGUUACCGACAGAAGAAGCACCGGCUAACUCCGUGCCAGCCGCCGCGGUAAUUC